UGUAAUUACGUGAAACGUAGACGACAACGGUUUUAUCUAAAGGACCGUCGUCGAUUUUCUACCAAAAACUUCUAAAUAUUAACCCUAUAGCUAUUUAGCGCGCACCUCGCUAAACCUCACCCAGAGUCAUCAUCGAUUUUGCCUUCGCUGCUCGCUUUGUGUCCUCAGUCCAUUCAUCCACUCACUGGUCGUCAUACCUGUGUCCUGUGUAUCGUGCCGGCAUUGCGUGUGGCCAUCGUCAACCAGAUAUUUAAAUUUGGCACUAAAGUACUCUAGUGACUAGGAAGGCAAAGUACUCCAAGCUGCUGCCAAUUGAAGUUGCUGAUAGCAAACAACCUUUACAGAAGGCUAUAGUGAAUUUGGAUGAUGUUACAAUUAUCAUAUCUAAGGAUGGAUAUGAGGAUAUCAUCAUAUUAGCAGACAACUUUGCUGCAUUUAAUCAACGUUCACUGGUGCCAGUAAAAGUUGCUUCCGGGUCUUGGUGGAAGUAUGCUAACAGAGCUGUAUCUAACCAGAUAAAGAGUUGUAUCUUGGAAACAUGUUAAGAAGUUUGAAUUGAUAUCUACGUGCCUAUUCGCCACAAUAGAGUACCCAUGCUUCAUUUGUACAUAUGCUUUUUCAUCAAGUUAUUUGUAUGAUUAUCUUUUUAAAAAUUGAAACUCUCAACUAGUAGGCUUUAUAUUUAGGUGAGUGUAGUUAAAGGAGUUAAAAAGUGUGCCUUAAAUGUCAAAAUGGGAUGAAUGAUGAUGGAUAGUAGAAGUGCCUCUUACAUGUUUUU